GGGAAGCCUCCAAUCCUCCGAGACCUCUCUGGCUGAUCAGGACUGCUGAUAGACGGUGGAAAGUGGCUUGGCCACAUUUUUAUCAAGGCAGUUGGAGAAGCAGAUUCACAUCAUACACUCCACAGGAGCACAGACCAGAAGAACAACAGCAAGGGCCAGCCACCUUUGACAGCAGAGAGCUUGUUAAAAGAGCUAAAUGUCAUUGAAAAUGUGCUGUUAAUCCUACUCGUCAACAAAUGUUAACCACGAAGUGAUAAUAAAGAGAAGAAAGAAAAGAUGUGGCUCCAAUCGGGAUUAUGCUUGGUCUCAGAUACAAGAGGAGACUGGAAAAAGAUCAGCAAACUUCGUGCAGGACUCGAGCCUUACGGGCACGCCUCUCACCCAGAAAUAGCCCUCUUGUCUUGUGAGCUAACACACAUCUUGACACUCACUGCUUGUAAAGUGUUUUGGAGCAUCUUCACUGGAAGCACUAUAAAAAAAAAUCCCAACUGUUGUGUCCAAGUUUCUACAACACUGAUGUCAGCAGCAGGGAGCAUGCAACGUGUGUGAUUAUAAAAGGAUAGCACCUUGGAAGAAAGUCACUGCAAUGCUGAAAUGUUGUUUAGGAAAGUGAAUCAAGUCCCUUAUCAAGCAUUAUGACCAAAAACACAUUCUUCAGAACAUCGGGAAGCAUCUAUCCUGCAAUAUGAUAUUGAUUUUACCCAAAUUUAAUAGAUGGCAUAUAUGCAAACUGUAAA